UCCAUUACUCGUUAUUUAUUCCAUAAAAAAAAUCAACCUGUAAAAUCAUAUGAUAACAAAUAUAUACAAGACUUUGUUCAAAUUCAUUGUUUUAGGAUAUAAUAUCACAACCAUAUGAGUUUUUUUUACCGAGAGAUUACUUCAUUAGCCACUUAUUUCAAAUAUGACCCUUAAUUUUACAUAUAGAUCCCUAAUUAUUAUCAAGAUUAUUGCAGACAGGUCGCCCACCGAGGUUGAUAGUGUGAGAGACAUGGCCCCACUUGGCUCGCGCUCGCCGCCGAUGAGCUCGCCAUGGCGCGCCGCAUCAGACCUCGGAGGCGGCUCGCACGCGCCGCUCCGUCUCCUCCUACCACCACCUCGUCGUCGUCGCCCUCCUCCGCCGUCUCUCCGCUUCCCCCCGCCAAAAUCCACCGAAUCCCAUAGGCGGCAGCCGGGACUGGACGAUUUGAGCCGAAUGCGCUCGAGUUGUUUCAAAUGGUGACGAAAAAAAAAAAGAUGAUGAGCACAUGAUUGGAAUCUCGUCCGUGGUUCAGCUGAUCAGUUCCUUCCAUAUAUUUGGGGGAAAUGUGUUUUUUUAUCGCUGAAAUGUGGUGUUUAUUGCUCCCUUCCCUCACCUGCAAAUAAUAAAUUGGUUGAAAGAGAAGAGUUCAGAAUUGCAAAUGGAAUUAGGUUGAACCGUCACUUUCCUGUAAUUUAAUUUGUACGGUGUACUUAUACAUUAAGAUGUUGCCAAAAUGUGACAAUUGCGUAGGGAAGAUGUUGACAAGAACAUGGCGGCUUGGCUAUACGAAGAUGCUGACUACUUUGUUCAUAGUUUAGUCAUCCGCAACGUGAAUCAGGCCUGCGAAUCUGAGACUUGUUUAACUCAAACUCCUCCAGAUUCGCUGUAUUAGAACCGUUGAAUUGAAUCAAAAUAAUACUAUGUACCAAAGCUUAUUCUUUUUUAUGUCUUUUCAGUGCUAAACUAGGUUGUAGUGGAGUAGUAGGAUGCCAUUGAAAUUUAGAUUAUUGGGAGAGUAUAAUGCCCUUUUACUCGUCAUUUGUUUUCUGAACUUCUGGUACCAAUCCUGAUUUGUGAGGGUAAAAUUGGAUUACCAAACAUCUCCUGGGUUUAGAUGGUUACUGAUUGUGAGCAACUCCAUUAGAAUUUGGUAGCUUCUUAUUUCAAAGUGAGGAGAUUGAAUGAUUGAUUGCGGUAACAACUUCUUGUUUCUCGCCAGGCGAGGAGCCGAUCUGAAAGGAAUAUGAAGUAGCCAAUGAUGAUCUCUAUGAGUAUAUCCUUUCUUCAGAUUAAGUAUGUAUAAUGCCAUUGAAAUGCUUAGCAUGACACUUGAGAUUAAGUACUCUACAGGCUACAGCAUUGAAGCGAUUAGCAUAUACCACUUCUUCAGAUCAAGCAUACACCAUUGAAAUGCUUAGCAUGUCACUUGGGACUCGGAUACAACAUGGGAAUGCUUAGCUUGCCACUUCUUCAGAUUAAGUACACACCAUUGAAAUUCUUAGCAUGUCACUUCACAUAACCAUAAGAAACAUGAAAACCGGAGUACAUACACAAUCAUAGCAAGAAACAUGAAAAUACUGGAGUACAUGUAACUUUGCACGGGUCCGAAAAGGCAGCAGAAACACAUGCAGCAGAGAUGACUGGGCUGCACCUCCUGCACAGCUGCACUGCCAGAACGGACACACUAUCCAUCACUGCGCCGGGACAGAAGAACAGCACGCAAUCUCUCAAGAUAAUUUCCCAGAGAGACGCACCCCCCACACCCAACCCAACCUUGCAGAAGAUUCCCAAUUCCACCAGAGAAGUUGCAGCUCCCCUCUCUCUGCAUGAAUGAAUGAAUGAAUGAAUUGGAGAGCAGCAGCAGCAGCAGCAGCAGGGCCAAAGGAGAAUGGGACCAUUGCCUGACCAACACCAGCAGCAGCAGCAGCUCAGGCUUUUCAUGUGCUGGAGCCUGCCUGGAACAGCACAAGCGACAGCAGCUACCAUCAA